UGCCCCCCCCCGCGGUUAUACAUAGGGUGCCGCGUUGUCCGGAAUUAUUGGGCGUAAAGAGCUCGUACGUGGUUAGUUACGUCGGAUGUGAAAAUCUAGGGCUCAACCCUAGACCUGCAUCCGAUACGGGCUAACUUGAUUUUGGAAGGGGAGACUGGAAUUCCUGGUGUAGCGAUGGAAUGCCCAGAUAUCAGGAGGAACGCCUAUGGCGAAGGCAGGUCUCUGGGCCAAUACUGACACUGAGGAACGAAAGUGGGGGGAGCGAACAGGAUUAGAUACCCUGGUACUCCACACAGUACACGGUGGGCACUAGUUGUGGGAACCUUCCACGGUUUCUGCGACCCUCCUAACGCAUUAAGUGCCCCGCCUGGGGAGUACUAUCGCAAGAUUAAAACUC
rnacentral:rRNA from 1 species